CAAGGUUUCCGUAGGUGAACCUGCGGAAGGAUCAUUGUCGAGACCAAAACAAAUUGGGAGAUUUAGCGAACUCAUGAACUAAGUUGUGGCAGUCAUUGUCACAAAACAAUCAUACAAUAUUGUCUCAUCUCUUUAGGGAGAAGGUAAAUGUUGGAUGAAAACCCGAGCUAGCGCAUUUUCGCGCCAAGAUAAUGUGGAAAAAUGAGCCCCAACAGAUAUGGUGGCAUUGAUUAUAUGACUCUCGGCAACGGAUAUCUAGGCUCUCGCAUCGAUGAAGAGCGCAGCGAAAUGCGAUACGUGGUGCGAAUUGCAGAAUCCCGUGAACCAUCAAGUCUUUGAACGCAAGUUGCGCCCGAGGCUAAUCGGCCGAGGGCACGUCUGCCUGGGCGUCAAGCAUUUUGUUUCUUCGUGCCAUCACCACCCCACUAAUAGGUGUGCUAGUGAUGCUCGAAUGUGAAGAGUGGUUCGCCGUGCCCUUUGGUGCGGCGGACUGAAAAGCGGGUGUUUAUCCUCCCGGCCAUGAUAGACAAAGGGUGGACGAAAGCCACGAGCACGGCCAAACAAUGUCUCAGGCUGGCCAGAGGAAGAUUAUACAUCCAUAGUGAACCCAAACUCAUAUGCCGUAUCGUAAGAGUCGGCUUGGAAUGCGACCCCAGGAUGGGCGGGGCUACCCGCUGAGUUUAA
rnacentral:rRNA from 1 species